rnacentral:lncRNA from 1 species
UUGGUUAAAAUUAAAACAAGAAAACGUCUUUUUGUGCUUUUUUAGGCCUAUGCCUCACCUAAGUUUGCCUAGCCCAUAGCUUAGCCUCCACACAUCACCACGCAUUACGCCUUUUAGAACAUUGCUCCUGUGUGAUCAAAUAUUUCAGUUCACUGUUAUCUUAUUUCCAAAUCCCCAGCCCCAUUCACCUCUCGCUGUCGCCUUCGUAUCCCAUCCCUCUGUUUCAAUUUUCAUCGUAUCUUCUCCCCUCAUACCACCACCAUCCAAGAUACCAAACCCCAAAUCUCUUUCUAUGGCUUGGUCUUUCCAAAUCUUUCAUGCCCAUCACGAUGGCUUGUGCCUUCCUCUCUUCUGUGGCACUCACCAGGAAUCAGACACUGGACGAUAAUGAGGAUGAUUCUUUGCCACCAGCACCACCACCAGAGAGGCGUUUCGGUGCUAUUCCAAAGUCCGCAGGGACCUCUACACUGUUUCUGUAGGGAUUAAAUCGACUUAGGCUUUCUAAGAGUUUGAGCAAAUCUUCUUCAAAGGUUCGGGUUUUUUAUGAACUUAUAAGCAGCUUCAUGAUGAAAACUAUGAAUCUUCUUGAGUUCUUUAUGCUAAAUAAUGUGUUUUGUUGGUGACGAAUAGGUAGAAAUUUGUUAAGGAAGAUUGGAUCUUUGUUGUUGAUAUGAAUGAGAAAUUUGAGUUUGUUGGGAAUGUUUUUGUGUAUUUGUUUGCUGGAAAAAAAAAACUAACAAAUACAAAGUUGCCAAAAACUGAUGUGAAAAUCUAAAGAUUUUCUUGUGUUUGUUAAUGUGGUUCUUGUGACUGAGGAAAUUGAGGUAAGUUCUUUAACUGAAUAAGAACUUUCAGCAUUUUUUUAGGGUAACUUGCAUGUUUGGUUGUAGGUAAAUAUUAUGAGAAUCGAGUAACUGUUCAAGGCACUACAGGUUUCAUUUUGAUGGGCCGGGCAGAGGAUUUAAAGGAUGUGAUUGAAGAAAUGUAUGAUGAUGGAGAAAUAGCAGUAAUGAAAUAAUUUUUUUGCUAAAUCUUGCAAUUUUGUUG